UCACCAGCCCAACAACUCACUCUCCAACCCAAUCCCUCAAUCAGCUGACCCGGUCCGUUCCCCUAUAUCCUCUCUCCAUCAACAACAAGAACAGCAAUCCUAAAUCACGACUUCAUCAACCAAAACCAAACCCUAACCCGACGCCGAACCAACUCCGAUCCAGCCCCGUCUGAGUCAACCCGACCUUUUUCCACACGCGUCUCACUCCGUCACGUGCAAAUUCGUGCAAGAAAACCCUGAAAGGUUCUAGAAUCGGAUGAGUUAUCCCUCUCCAACGGUUCAAUCCUGUGAUUCUUGGAUGAGACGGGAUGAUUUUGUACUUAUUUAGGGGGGUUUUCAUUGGUUGAAAAGGGGAUUUGGUUUUCCCCAAUUUUGAUAGGUCCACCUUUUCUGAAUUAUCCGGGAGAUAAUCCAAAUUGGUACGUUUGUUGAUGAAUUCUCAAGCUGGAAGGGGAAUUUCGAAUUUCAAAAUUCCAAAGAUUCUCUUUUUCAAAUCCCUAAAUUACCCCUAAUUCGUCUUCUAUGUAAAGACCCACUGGAUCACUGUUUCAAGGGGUUAGAGAUGGGAAGGUUUGGAAAUUUUUGGGUUCUGAAUAUUGGAGAAAAUUUGGAGAGAAAACAGUUUCUUUUAGGGAAUUUUUUUUUUCUUUCGUUCGUCUUUUCGGGAAGUUGGUCGGCAAAUUGAAGUCCCCGAGUGGACGAAGAUUCUUCUCCUGUGGUGGAGCAUCUCGACGUUAGCUCGUUCUCCCAUUUUUCUACCCCGAAAGAGGAAAAAUUUAUCGUAGUUGGAUUUCUGGUGGAUCUUCCAUGCUUACCAGCUUCAUUCAGAAUUUGUGGGGUUUCUCCGGUCGUUAUUUCGAAUAAAGUAUUGUCAAAAUUUCCUGAUGAACUCGGUUCACUAUUUUUCGUGGCUCGCCAAAGAGAGGGGGAUGUUGGUUUAAAGAGCUUUCACUUGAAUAUUUGUUACUUUUUGCUCUUUGAAAUUUAGUUUAUUUGCAUGUUCGAUUCGGAAAUCAGAUUGCCAGAUUCCAUCUAGUAUUACUUUGGAGUGGUUGGCCUUUUGGAGUACAUUUUUGUGUUGUAUUCUAUGUAGGAAUGCUGUCGACAUCUAUGCGAAUCAAGAAAUAUUUUGUUUGAGCCUUCUUCAAAACUUUCCUAUUGUUAUGUUUUCUUCCUCUGUGAUAUCUAUUCUCUUUUAUUUUCUUUAAGCCCCUCUGUAGGACCAUGAAAAAAUUAGGAGUGUGAGUUAGAUAGAGCCUUUUAAGUGUUUUGUUUUGCGCAAGAAGUCUAUGGAUACUUGUUUUGCUGUUUAUUGAUAGAACUUAGUCAACGAACUUACUCUUUCCUAUCUAAAGAUGCUUGAUUUUCGUUAUUUUCUCUAAAAGUUCAAGACUUGUAAUCGAUUGUGCCCCAAUUAGCUAAUGAAUAAGAUUUUUCCGUAAGGAUAAUUUGAUAUUGUGUCGUUCUUCUUUUGGUCGGUCCUUCUUGAAUAAAGGUUUGAUUUUGCUUACUCGAAAUUAUGAGGCUUUCUUCACGGCCACCUUGUUUCUUUCUACAAAACUUGAGUUUCUGUAACCAUAUGCUUUCCCAAGUUUGUAAAUUACAUUCCUUCCUGCAUUUGUUGUUUGUACAUCUUUUACAGUAUCACAAAUCCACUAUCAUGUUGGGCUGAUAAUUUGGAACGAGUAUUAAUUUUCCUUUUCCUUUCUCUUCGCAUGUACUUGCCUUGGAGUCCAAAUGGACUCUUUCAUCUUGCAUUUCGUAAUGGGCCCACAUGGCCCACUUCCUCGAGUCAAACUCGAAGUUCUAAGUCCAAAAAACCGUCUCAUGGCAAACGGAUCCAAGGAAUCGAGAGAAGAAGAUUGGGUCGAAAUACAUCUCUGAAGCGGUGAAGCGGCCAAGAGACUUGAAAGUCUCGUUUUUCAUUUUAUUUUGUUUAUUUAUUUAUUGUUGUCUAUAUUUAUUUUAUUUAUUUUAUUUAUUUAUUUAUUCAUUUGGGCCUCGAAGCCAACAUUAUAAAUUUAAUACAAGUGGAGUAGAUUUUGGGCCGACGGGCUUGAAAA